rnacentral:misc_RNA from 1 species
GAAAUGCGAUACGUAGUGUGAAUUGCAGGUUUACGUGAAUCAUCGAAUCUUCGAACGCAAAUUGCACUUCCCAGUAAUCUGGGGAGUAUGCCUGGUUGAGGGUCGCCUAAAUAAUAAUCGCGAAUUUUCGCGGAUUUGAGUUUUCCGGUAUUUGGGAUAAUACCGGUGACUUUAAAAUAAUUAAUUUUGUGCAAGUUAAGACGUACUAUGUAACGUGGUUCGUUGAACACUUGUUCUUAUAUUAUGUGUGCGUUCAUUUUUUGAUGGGCGCGGGCAUAUAUUUUUUUUAUGACCUCAACUCAGGUAAGAUUACCCGCUGAACUUAAGC